CUCCUUGUAUUUUUCCUUCUCCUUUUAACUACUAACGAAGUUCUCCUUGUAUUUUUCCUUCUCCUUUUAACUACUAACGAAGUUCUCCUUGUAUUUUUCAGGUAGUUGCAUCCCUACCAACCGAGGUUUUGUUAUUAUUGGCACUACACUGGCUCAGACCGUUCAAGAUAAAAUCAAAAAGUAAACCUGUAACAGUUUGCCGCUAUAAUGUUAUAUGGUUGAUGGUUCAGUUAAGGUGAAUGACAUCCGCAUGUUGUGAAAAGUAAAAUUAAACUACAACAGUAAUACGUCCUGUUAUUCAGAUAGUUUUAGAAGUGCGUGGAGAUUCUACAGUACUAGUAAUCUUGUUUGUUAUUCAUUUUCCCUGAUAGUUUGAUAGAUGUAUUGUUACUUAUCGGGGUAUUAUUCGUUCAUCUAUUCAAAAGUACAAAGUGCAGGGUCGCAUGAUUUCAGGCCGGCCAGGCAUAAAAAUCGUGAAAUUCAAUUCUUAGGCCAGUACUAUAUAGGACGUCCCAGAUGAGGCCUGUAGUGAAAUGGUUCAAUUUAUAGAACUUGGGCCUUUAACAAUCUAUCAAGCGUAUAAAAACACCAUGUCAGCCCCAGAUACACAUGUAAAAACGCACAAGUUGUUACAGGUCUGCAAACAAGUUGUCACAAAUCUGUUCACAAGCUGUCGACAAGUUGUGUUCGUAUUGCUUGUUCCCAGUUGUUCUAAUAAAUUUGGAACAAGCAGUGUUAACAUUAACUUGCAACAAGCUUGAUGGCAUUAUCAGACUUGUUACAUGGUUGUUCUAACAAGUCUCAUACAGUCAUGAUAUAACAAGAAUGUUAGAAAGUUGACGACAAAAGGUUGUAACAAUGUUGUCAUAUGACUGUAUUGGACUUGUUGGAACAACCUUGCAACAAGCCUGA